UACGUAGGGGGCUAGCGUUGUCCGGAAUCAUUGGGCGUAAAGAGCUCGUAGGCGGUUUGUCGCGUCUGCCGUGAAAGUCCGGGGCUCAACUCCGGAUCUGCGGUGGGUACGGGCAGACUAGAGUGAUGUAGGGGAGACUGGAAUUCCUGGUGUAGCGGUGAAAUGCGCAGAUAUCAGGAGGAACACCGGUGGCGAAGGCGCCACUCUGGGCCGAAACUGACGCUGAGGAGCGAAAGCGUGGGGAGCAAACAGG
rnacentral:rRNA from 1 species